rfam:Clostridium amylolyticum strain DSM 21864 genome assembly, contig: Ga0131114_106
UAUGUCAAGCAGAAACAGCCGUUUCUCACCUUACAGCACUGCUAGUUAGGUUUAAAUAUUACUUGAAUUUUUUUUGGUGAUAUAUAGAGGACGGCUUAUGCCGUCCUUUUUAUAUUUU